rnacentral:rRNA from 3 species
CUUUAGUGGCGAACGGGUGAGUAACGCGUAAGCAAUCUGCCCCUAAGACGAGGAUAACAGUUGGAAACGACUGCUAAGACUGGAUAGGAGACAAGAAGGCAUCUUCUUGUUUUUAAAAGACCUAGCAAUAGGUAUGCUUAGGGAGGAGCUUGCGUCACAUUAGUUAGUUGGUGGGGUAAAGGCCUACCAAGACUAUGAUGUGUAGCCGGGCUGAGAGGUUGAACGGCCACAUUGGGACUGAGACACGGCCCAAACUCCUACGGGAGGCAGCAGUAGGGAAUUUUCGGCAAUGGAGGAAACUCUGACCGAGCAACGCCGCGUGAACGAUGAAGUAUUUCGGUACGUAAAGUUCUUUUAUUAGGGAAGAAUAAAUGAUGGAAAAAUCAUUCUGACGGUACCUAAUGAAUAAGCCCCGGCUAACUAUGUGCCAGCAGCCGCGGUAAUACAUAGGGGGCAAGCGUUAUCCGGAAUUAUUGGGCGUAAAGGGUGCGUAGGCGGUUAAAUAAGUUUAUGGUCUAAGUGCAAUGCUCAACAUUGUGAUGCUAUAAAAACUGUUUAGCUAGAGUAAGAUAGAGGCAAGUGGAAUUCCAUGUGUAGUGGUAAAAUGCGUAAAUAUAUGGAGGAACACCAGUAGCGAAGGCGGCUUGCUGGGUCUUUACUGACGCUGAGGCACGAAAGCGUGGGGAGCAAACAGGAUUAGAUACCCUGGUAGUCCACGCCGUAAACGAUGAGUACUAAACGUUGGGUAAAACCAGUGUUGAAGUUAACACAUUAAGUACUCCGCCUGAGUAGUACGUACGCAAGUAUGAAACUUAAAGGAAUUGACGGGACUCCGCACAAGCGGUGGAUCAUGUUGUUUAAUUCGAAGGUACCCGAAAAACCUCACCAGGUCUUGACAUGCUUCUGCAAAGCUGUAGAAACACAGUGGAGGUUAUCAGUUGCACAGGUGGUGCAUGGUUGUCGUCAGCUCGUGUCGUGAGAUGUUGGGUUAAGUCCCGCAACGAGCGCAACCCUUAUUGUUAGUUACCAGCACGUAAUGGUGGGGACUUUAGCAAGACUGCCAGUGAUAAAUUGGAGGAAGGUGGGGACGACGUCAAAUCAUCAUGCCCCUUAUGACCUGGGCUACAAACGUGAUACAAUGGCUGUUACAAAGGGUAGCUGAAGCGCAAGUUUUUGGCGAAUCUCAAAAAAACAGUCUCAGUUCGGAUUGAAGUCUGCAACUCGACUUCAUGAAGUUGGAAUCGCUAGUAAUCGCGAAUCAGCAUGUCGCGGUGAAUACGUUCUCGGGGUUUGUACACACCGCCCGUCAAACCACGAAAGUUGGCAAUACCCAAAGCCGGCGGCCUAACUUCGCAAGAAGAGGGAACCGUCUAAGGUAGGGUCGAUGAUUGGGGUUAAGUCGUAACAAGGUAUCCCUACCGGAAGGUGGGGAUGGAUCACCU